AAAAACUUAGGUUAACUAAACCAAGAGCCUUCAAAGCCCUAAAUAAGAAUUUAUUUUCUUAGUUUUUGA
rnacentral:tRNA from 1 species